AGCGAACGCUGGCGGCAGGCCUAACACAUGCAAGUCGAACGGAUCCUUCGGGAUUAGUGGCGGACGGGUGAGUAACACGUGGGAACGUGCCCUUUGGUUCGGAACAACUCAGGGAAACUUGAGCUAAUACCGGAUGUGCCCUUCGGGGGAAAGAUUUAUCGCCAUUGGAGCGGCCGGCGUCUGAUUAGCUAGUUGGUGAGGUAAAGGCUCACCAAGGCGACGAUCAGUAGCUGGUCUGAGAGGAUGAUCAGCCACAUUGGGGCUGAGACACGGCCCAAACUCCUACGGGAGGCAGCAGUGGGGAAUCUUGCGCAAUGGGCGAAAGCCUGACGCAGCCAUGCCGCGUGAAUGAUGAAGGUCUUAGGAUUGUAAAAUUCUUUCACCGGGGACGAUAAUGACGGUACCCGGAGAAGAAGCCCCGGCUAACUUCGUGCCAGCCGCCGCGGUAAAAC
rnacentral:rRNA from 1 species